CGGAGCAGGCCAGCUCAGCAACGCACUCAUUUCCUGCCUUUUACCGGAUGUGACCGUGAGUUGGCCUACAAUGCUCCCAUUCUAAUCUUUGGAAACCUCUGGACACCCAGAUU
rnacentral:snRNA from 1 species